rnacentral:lncRNA from 1 species
UUUUCUUUUGUAAAGUCCUUAUCAAACAAUCUAAUUAACAUCAUCUGAAAUUUAUCUAAUUGACAUCUUUUAAAAUUUAUCUAACGAAAUUUCAAAUCCUAUCCUACAAAUGGAUUUGAUAAAUCACUAUAGCACCAAUAUUUUAUCGGGAGACUGGCUCAAGUUGCAAGGCCCCAAGUGUAACACAGAGUAGCUGUACGCAGCAAGAAGAAGAAGAAGGUUGAUACUCUGACAACGCUGUCACGUUAUCUAGCGGAAAAAGAGCAGGCACGUACCCCUUCCCCUCGGACUUCGCCACCUCUCCUCCGGGUGCAACGUACCUGUCCCCGACUGUUGAAGACAGCGAGGUUACCGGAGCCGCUAUCAACCACGAAGCUCGUGCUGUUGACCAG